rnacentral:piRNA from 1 species
UGGAUUUCUAAUGGUCUUGAGAUGAAAGA